rnacentral:lncRNA from 1 species
AUGAGGAACACAAAGGGAAAGAGGAGAGGCACCGAUACGUGUUCUCUAGGCCUUUUAGAAAACAUGGAGUUGUUCCUUUGGGCACAAACAUGAGAAUCUGCCAGAAAGGCAAUUUUGUAGACAUCCACGGGAUGGAUACCGUUCCAAAAGGAAUGCCCCACAAGUGUUACCAUGGCAAAACUGGAAGAGUCUACAAUGUUACCCAGCAUGCUAUUGGCUUUGUUGUAAACAAACAAGUUAAGGGCAAGAUCUUGGCAAAAGAAUUAAUGUGCAUAUUGAGCAUAUUAAGCACUCCAGGAGCUGAGAUCAUUUCCUGAAAUGUGUGAAGGAAAAUAAUCUGGAAAAGAAGGAAGGCAAAGAGAAAGGUUCCUGGGUUCAACUAAAGCACCAGCCUACUCCACCUAGAGAAGCACACUUUGUGAGAACCAAUGGAAAGCCUGAGCUGCUGGAGCCUAUUCCCUGUGCAUUCACGGCAUAA